rnacentral:rRNA from 1 species
CGUGUAGAUGGCUUUUUAAGUCAGCUGUGAAAUCUCCUGGCUCAACCGGGAGAGGUCAGUUGAUACUGAGGAGCUUGAGGGCAGCAGAGGAAGAUGGAAUUCCCGGUGUAGUGGUGAAAUGCGUAGAUAUCGGGAGGAACACCAGUGGCGAAGGCGGUCUUCUGGGCUGUUUCUGACAUUGAGGCGCGAAAGCGUGGGGAGUGAAGCGGAUCAGAUACCCGCGUAAUCCACGCUAUAAACGGUGGAUACUAGGUAUGGGGGGUAUCGACCCUCUCCGUGCCGCAGCUAACGUUUUAAGUAUCCCGCCUGGGACUACGGCCGCAAGGUUAA